rnacentral:rRNA from 1 species
GAUGAACGCUGGCGGCGUGCCUAAUACAUGCAAGUCGAGCGAACAGACGAGGAGCUUGCUCCUCUGACGUUAGCGGCGGACGGGUGAGUAACACGUGGAUAACCUACCUAUAAGACUGGGAUAACUUCGGGAAACCGGAGCUAAUACCGGAUAAUAUAUUGAACCGCAUGGUUCAAUAGUGAAAGACGGUUUUGCUGUCACUUAUAGAUGGAUCCGCGCCGCAUUAGCUAGUUGGUAAGGUAACGGCUUACCAAGGCAACGAGGCGUAGCCGACCUGAGAGGGUGAUCGGCCACACUGGAACUGAGACACGGUCCAGACGCCUGCGGGAGGCAGCAGUAGGGAAUCUUCCGCAAUGGGCGAAAGCUUGACGGAGCAGCGCCGCGUGAGUGAUGAAGGUCUUCGGAUCGUAAAACUCUGUUAUUAGGGAAGAACAAAUGUGUAAGGAACUAUGCACGUCUUGACGGUACCUAAUCAGAAAGCAACGGCUAACUACGUG